AAUAUUGCACAAUGGGCGAAAGCCUGAUGCAGCAACGCCGCGUGAGCGAUUAAUGCUUNAGGGUCNUNAAGCUCUGUCCUUAGGGNCAAUAAUGACGGUACCUUAGGAGGAAGACCCUGCUAACUACGUUCCAGCAGCCGCGGUAAUACGUAGGGGGCAAGCGUUAUCCGGAUUCAUUGGGCGUAAAGGGUGCGUAGGCGGCCCUAUAGGUCAGAGGUCAAAGGCUACGGCUCAAUCGUAGUAAGCCUUUGAAACUGUAGGGCUUGAGUGCAGGAGAGGAGAGUGGAAUUCCUAGUGUAGCGGUGAAAUGCAUAGAUAUUAGGAGGAACACCAGUGGCGAAGGCGACUCUCUGGACUGCAACUGACGCUGAGGCACGAAAGCGUGGGGAGCGAACA
rnacentral:rRNA from 1 species